rnacentral:sRNA from 1 species
AGGCAACUAAGCCUGUAUUAAUGCCAACUUUUAGCGCACGGCUCUCUCCCAAGAGCCAUUUCCCUGGACCGAAUACAGGAAUCGUGUUCGGUCUCUUUUU